AGAGAUGUGUGAUGACGCAUAUCAAUAAGCGGAGGAAAAGAAACUAACAAGGAUUCCCUUAGUAACGGCGAGUGAAGCGGGAAGAGCUCAAGUUUGAAAUCUUCAAGGUUCUACCUUGACGAAUUGUAGUUUAUAGAAGUGUUUUCUGUUAGUAGAGUGGCAAAAGUUCUUUGGAAUAGGACAUCAUAGAGGGUGAGAAUCCCGUAUUUGGUCAUUCUCUCCUAGCUUUGUGAUACACUUUCAACGAGUCGGAUUGUUUGGGAAUGCAGUCCAAAAUGGGUGGUAAAUUUCAUCUAAAGCUAAAUAUUGGCGAGAGACCGAUAGCGAACAAGUACCGUGAGGGAAAGAUGAAAAGAACUUUGAAAAGAGAGUUAAACAGUACGUGAAAUUGUCAAAAGGGAAGCGUUUGACACCAGUGUUGUUUUUCCGAAAAUCAAUUACGAAUGUUUUGUUUUUAAGAAGUUAUGACUUCAUCGGCUUGCUUCCUCUCUUUACGAAACUUUCUUAAUGCACUUUUCGGUUAACAAGUCAACAUCAAUUUCUUUUGUUGUAAAAGGGUAUGAGGAAGGUGGCUUUCUUUUCGGAGAAAGUGUUUAUAGCCUUGUAGCCUCUGCAAUCGGAGAGAUUGAGGUCUGCAGCGUAGAUCCUUCGGGGUUAGAUACACUUGUGCUAAGUUAUAGCUUUUCAUAGACAACUUGUUGACUAUGUUUAGUCUUGUAGCUUACUCGCUUAUGCUAUUUUACCUACGCUUAGGAUGUUGAAGAUGUAGCACAUCAU
rnacentral:rRNA from 1 species